ACUCGAGAAAGGUUAUUGCAGCUUGCAGCAACAUCAUGUUUUAUCAAGUAUUGAACCACACAAAGGAUUAAAUCUUCAUUACAAUAUCAUUCAUAACUCCAUUUAAAUCAAUGGAAACUAAAUAUGGAUCGUUUCAUGGAGUAACAACAUACUUUGGAGUUUGGACCCAAAAUACAAUACACGUUAAUAUCGAACUUAUAAGGUGUUAAGCUGCAAUUACAAUAAAAGUGCUUGCUAUGGAAUCACCGGUGCUGAUCAUUAUUGUCAACUGUUACUUAAAAUCCAGAUGAACCAACCUUUACUUCCUAUUCAAAUAAGUUUAGAAGAAACCUAUAUAAGCAAUAAAACCAGACCAAGAAUGCUUGAUUACAAACGAUGAACUCAUUUCAUUUGCAAGUUAUGCCAUGACAUAAAUGCAUUAAAUUAGGAAGAUUUGUAUUAGAUGAAUUACCCAGAUAACAAUUAAAAUAACUUCUGUUGAUAAGAACAUUUGAUUGGUGGAAUCCAGAUUCUGUGAAUGUACAUGUAAUUGAUUGACAAGUACACCAUUUGACAAGGUGGUGAGAAACGUGUACAUCUGGCCUGCUUACAGUGGCUAUUGGAUUGGACAGAACCAAAGUGAGAGUGAAUGUGUGAAUUUAUGGAGAACAUUAAAAACUAUUUUACUAUAAGUCAUAACGCAACUUAUUUUGUAUGAGUUACAUACAAAUGUCAAGCCGUGAGUACAUUAUGUAAAAACUAAAACAAUGUACUGUAAUCACAACAGUAACUGUAAUCUUUUAAAAUCCAAUAGUUUUAUUGCUUAUUGAU